UUUUAUAACUUGGAGCACACAGGGACCUGCCUGCACAGCACUUGUACCAGUUAAUCCUUUACAUUAACUUGAGUGACAGAUAUGUUAGUG
rnacentral:lncRNA from 1 species